rnacentral:rRNA from 1 species
CAGUAUCAGUCCAGGUGGUCGCCUUCGCCACUGGUGUUCCUUCCUAUAUCUACGCAUUUUCACCGCUACACAGGAAAUUCCACCACCCUCUACCGUACUCUAGCUCAGUAGUUUUGGAUGCAGUUCCCAGGUUGAGCCCGGGGAUUUCACAUCCAACUUGCUGAACCACCUACGCGCGCUUUACGCCCAGUAAUUCCGAUUAACGCUUGCACCCUUCGUAUUACCGCGGCUGCUGGCACGAAGUUAGCCGGUGCUUAUUCUGUUGGUAACGUCAAAACAGCAAGGUAUUAACUUACUGCCCUUCCUCCCAACUUAAAGUGCUUUACAAUCCGAAGACCUUCUUCACACACGCGGCAUGGCUGGAUCAGGCUUUCGCCCAUUGUCCAAUAUUCCCCACUGCUGCCUCCCGUAGGAGUCUGGACCGUGUCUCAGUUCCAGUGUGACUGAUCAUCCUCUCAGACCAGUUACGGAUCGUCGCCUUGGUAGGCCUUUACCCCACCAACUAGCUAAUCCGACCUAGGCUCAUCUGAUAGCGUGAGGUCCGAAGAUCCCCCACUUUCUCCCUCAGGACGUAUGCGGUAUUAGCGCCCGUUUCCGGACGUUAUCCCCCACUACCAGGCAGAUUCCUAGGCAUUACUCACCCGUCCGCCGCUGAAUCCAGGAGCAAGCUCCCUUCAUCCGCUCGACUUGCAUGUGUUAGGCCUGCCGCCAGCGUUCAAUCUGAGCCAGGAUCAAACCCUU